rnacentral:misc_RNA from 1 species
AAGGAGCUUUACACUCCCAAACCCUUUGUUUAAUCUACCUGUUUGUUGCUUCGGCAGGCGGCCCCAGGGCGGGGCUGUAGCCUACUCGUUAGGCGCCUGCCGGAGGUAACUUAAACUCUCAAUUUUUACUGUCUGAGUACAAAAUAAAAUGAAUCA